UAGUGCCCUCUCCAGCUCAGUCAUCAUCCACAUACCCCAGGACACUGUCCGAGCCAAAGAGAUCAUCGCCUACGUCAACACGCUGAAGACUCAGGUCAGCUAUUACGCAGAGAGGCUGUCUCAAGCUGCCAAAGACCAAUCGGCCAGCGGACUGGAGUGGACGCUCGCCAGUCUGGUUGACAAGACCCGUCAGCUGGUGGCAGUGUGCGGCUGCAAGCUGCUAGCUUCAGCUAUUUAGGCCCUGAACGCAGUACGAGUACAUCGCAACCAAAGCUUCUCCUUCCGCUGAGUCUGAACAAGUAGUGCUCCGCAAUGACCAGGAUACGCUGAGAGCAAAGUACAGCGGUCACAACAGCCAGUCGUCACUGCACGUGGACUGGCACGAAGAGGAGUGGGCCACGCCCACGGACUACAGCGCCAUGAUGAGC